GUGAGCCCUCUAAUAAGGGUAAAGAUAUCGUACCCGAGGACCAAGAAUAGGCGUACUCCAAACUCCCGCUAUUGUGAGUAAUCAGAUGAUCAUUUUAACUAUAUAAAGUAUUUUAUACUCGUUUUUAUGUUUUAAAGAAUAAUGAGUUUAAAUUGUAAAUUAUUAUGUUUUAAAAUUGAAGUGUUGGUUAAAAGAAAUGAGAUUUAUAACUUGUUUUGAAAUCGAAUACUGAUUUUGGAAAUUGAGUAGGUGGAGACUAUAUACUUGUGUUAUCUAUAUAUAUAUAUGGUUUGAAUUGAUGGCUUAUGAUAAUGUGAUGACAUGAAUGGCUGGAUUUGUGGUUUGUGGAUUAUAUAAACUGUUUUGUUUUACCGUGACAGGCUGGGUAAUAUUAUAUUAGCCAUGUCAUGUUGUUGAAAUUUUUAUUGAUUUGGUGGGUUAUUUGAUUAGCUUACUGCAGUGGGCGGGUUUUCGUGGACCAACCUAUUAGAGGGGCACGGUAAACCCCGUUAUAUUUUACCUUAGGACGAGAGGCACGGAGGGUAUCUCCUAAGGUAAGUUUAGAGUUCACUUCACGUCGAACUACCACGUGAGGAUGAAACUCAGCCAACGCCAAGGAAUGACUAUAUUUUAAAAGUAAAAAUAUGUUUUAUGGGUAUAUGUCGUUUUAACAUCCUUGGCGGAUUCGGUUGGAUGCUCGGGCCAAGGUGUCACCGAGUAUGAGUUUUGGCACAAGCCAAAUUUUUAAGAGAAUCACAAGCCUUGUUGAUUAUUUCGAUAAAAUGUAAUUAUUUUAUAUGAAUUGAAAUGAGUUUUAAAUGUUAUGAAUCAUAUUAUAAUGGGAUGAUUUAACUGUCUCAAUUUACUCAGCUUUAGAUGUUGUAGAUGAACUUUGGUUACUCAUUGGGUUUAUAAAAACUCACCCCUUUUUUUUACCUAUUUUAGGCUCAGGACAGUCUGUAAACAGUCGAUUUUGUCGAGGGUUGCUUUUGGAUUUACAUCCUUAGAAAUCGAAGGUCUACAGUCUUGUAUAUUUUCGGUUAUUUUGGAGCCCACAUGUCAUUGUAGAAUAUUUUUGUAUACCUGGUUUAGUGUGCUAUUAUAUAUAUGAAUUUAUUUUACUCUUANUGAGUUUUCGUGGACCAGCCUAUGAGAGGGGCCCAAUAAACCCCGUUAUAUUUUACCUUGGUACGAGAGGCGCGGAGGGUAUCUCCUAAGGUAACAUUAGAGUUCACUUCACACCGAACCACCACGUGAAGGUGAAACUCAGCCAACGCCAAGGAAGGGCUGUGCUUUUAAAUGUAAAAAAAAAAUGAGUUUUAUACUCAUAUGUUAUUUUAACAGCCUUGGCAGACUCGGUUGGAUGCCCCGGGCCAAGGUGUCAUCGAGUAUAAGUUUGGUACGAGCCAAGUUUUAAGAGAGUCAUAAGCCUUGUUGAUUAUUUUUGAUGAAAUGUAAAUUGUUUUAUAAGGUUGAAAUGAGUUUUAAUGUUAUGAAUCAUAUUAUGAAGAG
rnacentral:lncRNA from 1 species